rnacentral:rRNA from 1 species
ACCUACCUUUUAGAGGGGAAUAACCAGAAGAAAUUUUGGCUAAUGCCGCAUACGAAGCGCAAAUAUAAUAGUAACGCUUGAAAGGAUGCCUCUGUAUAUGCAUUCACUAAAAGAUGGGCCUGCGGAACAUUAGCUAGUUGGUGGGGUAAAGGCCUACCAAGGCAACGAUGUUUAUCCGGUCUGAGAGGAUGAUCGGACACACUGGAACUGAGACACGGUCCAG